GUGCAACUACAGCUCAAUUGGUAUAGCAUGAGGCUCUUAAUCUCAGGGUUGUGGGUCUGAGCCCCACGUUGAGCA